AGACCCGAAACCCGGUGAUCUAGCCAUGGGCAGGUUGAAGGUUGGGUAACACUAACUGGAGGACCGAACCGACUAAUGUUGAAAAAUUAGCGGAUGACCUGUGGCUGGGGGUGAAAGGCCAAUCAAACCGGGAGAUAGCUGGUUCUCCCCGAAAGCUAUUUAGGUAGCGCCUCGUGAAUUCAUCUCCGGGGGUAGAGCACUGUUUCGGCUAGGGGGCCAUCCCGGCUUACCAACCCGAUGCAAACUGCGAAUACCGGAGAAUGUUAUCACGGGAGACACACGGCGGGUGCUAACGUCCGUCGUGAAGAGGGAAACAACCCAGACCGCCAGCUAAGGUCCCAAAGUCAUGGUUAAGUGGGAAACGAUGUGGGAAGGCCCAGACAGCCAGGAUGUUGGCUUAGAAGCAGCCAUCAUUUAAAGAAAGCGUAAUAGCUCACUGGUCGAGUCGGCCUGCGCGGAAGAUGUAACGGGGCUAAACCAUGCACCGAAGCUGCGGCAGCGACACUGUGUGUUGUUGGGUAGGGGAGCGUUCUGUAAGCCUGUGAAGGUGUGUCGUGAGGCAUGCUGGAGGUAUCAGAAGUGCGAAUGCUGACAUAAGUAACGAUAAAGCGGGUGAAAAGCCCGCUCGCCGGAAGACCAAGGGUUCCUGUCCAACGUUAAUCGGGGCAGGGUGAGUCGACCCCUAAGGCGAGGCCGAAAGGCGUAGUCGAUGGGAAACGGGUUAAUAUUCCCGUACUUGGUGUUACUGCGAAGGGGGGACGGAGAAGGCUAUGUUGGCCGGGCGACGGUUGUCCCGGUUUAAGCGUGUAGGUGUGUGUUCCAGGUAAAUCCGGUUCACUUUAACACUGAGGCGUGAUGACGAGGCACUACGGUGCUGAAGUGACAAAUGCCCUGCUUCCAGGAAAAGCCUCUAAGCAUCAGGUAACAUCAAAUCGUACCCCAAACCGACACAGGUGGUC
rnacentral:rRNA from 1 species